CUUGAAAUCGGGGGGGUUAAAGUCCCUCUAUCCCC
rnacentral:tRNA from 1 species